GCCCGACCUCCCCCUCCUCUUUUCUUCUCCUUUGUGCCGUUUCUGGUUUUCCGGCGAUUUUGUCGCCGUCCGGCCACCCCAGGACGAACCGCUUGGCAUGGCGUGAUCCUCUCCUCCUUCUCUACCUAGUCAUUUUCCGGCCGGAUUCUUUGAGGAUUUUGGUUGUUGGUGAGGUGCUGAACGCGUUCCUAACCUUGUUGCAGCUUGUUUUGAUCGGUGGAGGAAGAUGUGAAGGUGUUUGAGAGUGUUAACAGUAACAUGAACAGUAAUUGUCGAGUUCUUGGUUUUUGUUUGAUCUUUCCGUCCAUUUCUGCUUCAAUUUGGUUAUUGUUGCAGGACGUACUGAUCCCUCGAGCAAGGAGGACAUGGGCAGGCAGCAGAUUAGCUGCGAGACUCACCUGCCCUUUGGUUUCAAAUGCCCAGAUUUCAGAUUGGCCGAGAUCGCGUCCAGGAACUUGAGGCAUAGGAAUCAGCGCUUCCGUUUUGAUUGUAGGUUAAUACUUAACCUACUUUGUAUGAUAUCGGCUUAGUUAUGUAGCACCGCUCUGAUGUUAUCGUAUGGAGGUUAAGGUGGAAUUCGUACUUCCUGAAUGUAACAUAUACACUUGGAAUGUAAAUAUUGG